UACGAAGGGGGGCUAGCGUUGUUCGGAAUCACUGGGCGUAAAGCGCACGUAGGCGGAUCUUUAAGUCAGAGGUGAAAUCCCAAGGCUCAACCUUGGAACUGCCUUUGAUACUGGGGAUCUUGAGUCCGGGAGAGGUGAGUGGAACUGCGAGUGUAGAGGUGAAAUUCGUAGAUAUUCGCAAGAACACCAGUGGCGAAGGCGACUCACUGGCCCGGUACUGACGCUGAGGUGCGAAAGCGUGGGGAGCAAACAGG
rnacentral:rRNA from 1 species